rnacentral:misc_RNA from 1 species
AAAACCUCAGUCUCUGAUUUAUCAUUGAUUGGUCCUGCAUCGGAUGCCUUGUGCAUCCCCUGCGAAAUCCAAUGGCGAAGAGCCACGCAGCCAAAGCGUAGUAUUAAUUUCUCGUGAUGGAUGUGUGAGCGCUUCUGCCGCAACCCCCAUAUCUUAGU